CGUGAGACAGGUUAGUUUUACCCUACUAAUGACAAAACGUUGUUGCGACAGCAUUCCUGCGUAGUACGAGAGGAACCGCAGGUACGGACCAAUGGCACAAUACUUGUUCGAGCGAACAGUGGUAUGACGCUACGUCCGUUGGAUUAUGCCUGAACGCCUCUAAGGUCGUAUCCGUGCUGGACUGCAAUGAUAAAUAAGGGGCAAUUUGCAUUGUAUGGCUUCUAAACCAUUUAAAGUUUAUAAUUUAUUUUAUAAACGACAAUGGAUGUGAUGCCAAUGUAAUUUGUAACAUAGUAAAUUAGGAGGAUCUUCGAUCACCUGAUGCCGCGCUAGUUACAUAUAAAAGCAUUAUUUAAUACAAUGACAAAGCCUAGAAUCAAUUGUAAACGACUUUUGUAACAGGCAAGGUGUUGUAAGUGGUUGAGCAGCUGCCAUACUGCGAUCCACUGAAGCUUAUCCUUUGCUUGAUGAUUCGA
rnacentral:ncRNA from 1 species